AUGACUAAAACAGGAUUUGAUAUUGAUCCUCGGCCGCCCCCCAGGAACAUUCUCAUCAUUUGAUAUUAUUCGUCACACGUCCUGUGUUAAUGAGCUCGGCGGUGUGCCACUGGGCCCGAUGAACCUCGACCUUAGUCAGGUGGAAAAGGCAAACUACAAUAACAUGGAAAAGGAAUUCUUGGAAAAGACUGGACCUCCGACCGGCUGUUUGUACCCGACUCGGCACGUUCUGACGUUCUUCAGUGGGCCCACAAUUCAAAACUCACCUGUUAUCCCGGAAUCACCCACACUAUCCAAUUCGGACAACAACACUUCUGGUGGUCCAGCCUGGUGAAAGACACCCGGGUGAUCAUCCAAGCCUGUUCUGUGCCCGAGGGAAGACUUCACAUCUGUCCCCACUGGUCUGCUGCGCCCCUUACCUAUUCCUAGCCGCCCUUGGUCCCACAUCGCCUUGGACUUCAUUACCAGCCUACCUACCUCUGAAGGUCACCUUGUGUUUUCUCCGCUGUGACUUUGGAGAAGAGAGACACCUGAGACACUGCCACAAACGGGAGCCCCAACAGCUGCAGGAACACUCCAAUAAUGAAAGCCGACAGCUUCCACUCGUAGCUGCCUAGAAGGCAAGGGA